rnacentral:pre_miRNA from 1 species
AGGACCAGGGUGUUACAUGAAAGAUCAGAACUUGUUUGGUAGCCAAGGAUGACUUGCCCACAUUUCUCUGCUGCUAGCUGCAUCUUACUUACAGAGUUUGUCUGGGCAGUCUCCUUGGUUAUGCUGACAGGUUAUGAUCUCUCAUGUUAUGCCCUUUGUUCU